rnacentral:rRNA from 1 species
AUUGAACGCUGGCGGCAGGCCUAACACAUGCAAGUCGAGCGGCAGCACGGGUACUUGUACCUGGUGGCGAGCGGCGGACGGGUGAGUAAUGCCUAGGAAUCUGCCUGGUAGUGGGGGAUAACGUCCGGAAACGGGCGCUAAUACCGCAUACGUCCUACGGGAGAAAGUGGGGGAUCUUCGGACCUCACGCUAUUAGAUGAGCCUAGGUCGGAUUAGCUAGUUGGUGAGGUAAUGGCUCACCAAGGCGACGAUCCGUAACUGGUCUGAGAGGAAGAGCAGUCACACUGGAACUGUGCCACGGUCCAGACUCCUACGGGAGGCAGAAGUGGGGAAUAUUGGACAAGGGGCGAAAGCCUGAUCCAGCCAUGCCGCGUGUGUGAAGAAGGUCUUCGGAUUGUAAAGCACUUUAAGUUGGGAGGAAGGGCAGUUACCUAAUACGUGAUUGUUUUGACGUUACCGACAGAAUAAGCACCGGCUAACUCUGUGCCAGCCGCCGCCGUAA